UAUUAAGAAAAAAAAAACCCACGUACUCAUAUUAUUAUGGUAUUCCGGGUCUGUAACAAUCGGACCGUUACAACGAACACCGGUGCGAACAAAUAGCCGUUCGUUCGCGUGUAUAAUGCCCGUAAUAGUAUUAUAAUAUUGUAACGUACGAUUAAAAACGCGACGGGGUCUGUUAUAAUAAUAAUAACAACAAUAACAAUUGCGAUACAGUCACAAAACAAUCGGUUCCGUUUUCGAAGGUAUGUUUCGAGUAUAUUUCUUGAAAAAAAAAAAAAAAAAAAUUAUAAAACAAUACACACGCUUCGAACGUGUUGCAAUAAUACUUUGCGAUUUUAGUUUCUUCCGGGCGGAUCGAAGAGCUCGAGCGCAAUACCGCAUAGACAGUCCGCGAUUUGUCGUUCCAACGGAAACGCACGCGCUAUACCUUUCAAGUCCAAACGCGAAUUUCGGUGUUCGCGGACAAUUCCUAUUGCGGUACGUAUACAAUUUAGAUACGAGGGCGCCCGUUAUUAGGAGGCGCAAGGGGGUGUUAUACGUCGGACGCGGCCCGUUCGUGUGCCGUUUCACAAAACGGAAAACUCCCAAACGGGUCCGGUUAUUUCGCGACGCGAAUUCGCAGACAAACCAAAUGUGCUGUAUGCAUUUGGUUAAUUUAUGCGAAAUUGAUAAAAUCCGAUAGACUGGACGAAAUUCGUUCGACACCAGUCCGACACAGGCGUGUAAUGACGUUCGAACCGUAAAAUCCAAAUUUCAAUAAUUUGAACGGGUUCGAUAAAACUUGUUAUCGUAAAAAGUAAGACACGACACGGGUGUUUUGUGCGUCGCGUCUGCACUCGCGUUUUGUUGCGAGAAGUGCGCGCGCGGCACCGAAUACCGGAGCCGUUCGAGAAAAAACGAAACAAUUGACGAGAGCCGUUCGGGUCGCACCGGAUGUGUCACCCACUAGGAAAAUUAUACCGCCCGUUUUCUGUUGGUUACAAUAAAUACGUUUGUCUGGUGAUAAUGACAAGAUGUAUGCCUACCACGGGAGAAUAAAAGUCGGGCGCGGACUGCGUAUGCUCACGCGCGUUCACUGACGGAAUUACGGCACAAGGUUCGUGUUGACAGAUUCGGUGUGCAAAAACGCGAUUUAGAGAAAUAUCGUUUCGAAACGAACUCGUGUAAUUGUUUUCGUUCGCGUGCAAAAUCGAUCGCAAUGUCGAGUUUGAUAAAGUCGACGUUGUCGAUGCUCGGUUUCUGAGUGUUUGCCAUUUUAUGGCAAAGUAUAAGUACGAGCUGUCGGGCCGCAGCGCCAACGCGUCGCGAUAAUAAGUGAUAACAAAAUAUAACGGCGAGUCGGCGGCACGUUGAGAUGUUCAAACAAGUUAGGGUUUUUUUUUUUUCUCAAACGUUAUAAAUCCGCUCGAACCGCCGGAUUUCGUGUGUCGGCGCCGCAUACGAUUAAAACCGUACCGCGAUAAUUAGCAUUCCGACCCGCCCGUUAAAAUUAUCGUCGUGUCUGUUAAAACGAUAUUAUUGUAGGUCGGGCACAUAUAGUGCAGUCGUAAACCCGCUCGUUAUGCUAAAAACAAAAAAACAAAUAGCACUCAGCUAUACCAUACGGUUCGCGGGUAGGAAAAUAACGCGCGACGUGCGAACAAACGUACGCGUGAGAAAAAUGGCGCGUUUACAAACGGAAUGUCGAGAGGAAAAAAAAAACACGCGAAUAGAAAAAAAAAAAAAAAAUCUUAUCUUUUCAGACCGCCGUCUGUUCAAACACGCCGUCGUCGUCGUUACGCUGCUGAUAUUAAAAUAUUUUUCGCUAGUUCAAACAACCGGCGGUGGCGGCGCGAUUAUGCGGCACGCGAGCCCCGGGAAAAUUAGCCGCGAUAUUCCGCACGAAAUAGGUGCGGUAAUUCAUCGGCCGCCU
rnacentral:lncRNA from 1 species